GUUGAAGAAUUAUUUGAAGGUUCAUUGGAUGCAUUAAAAAACGUAAAUCUUGGACUGAUUCGUGGACCAGCUCCAGACAUAGUGGUCCGUGAUCUUCAUGAAG